GAUGAACGCUGGCGGCGUGCUUAACACAUGCAAGUCGAACGGAAAGGCCCAAGCUUGCUUGGGUACUCGAGUGGCGAACGGGUGAGUAACACGUGGGUGAUCUGCCCUGCACUUCGGGAUAAGCCUGGGAAACUGGGUCUAAUACCGGAUAGGACCACAUUUUGGAUGGUGUGGUGGAAAGUUUUUCGGUGUGGGAUGAGCUCGCGGCCUAUCAGCUUGUUGGUGGGGUAAUGGCCUACCAAGGCGUCGACGGGUAGCCGGCCUGAGAGGGUGUACGGCCACAUUGGGACUGAGAGACGGACCAGACGCCUACGGGAGGCAGCAGUGGGGAAUAUUGCACAAUGGGGGCAAGCCUGAUGCAGCGACGCCGGGUGGGGGAAGACGGCCUUCGGGUUGUAAACUCCUUGCGCCAGGGACGAAGCGCAAGUGACGGUACCUGGAGAAGAAGCACCGGCUAACUACGUG
rnacentral:rRNA from 1 species